AUAGAGAGGAAGUAGAGCAGUGGGUGCCAGGGGCUGGGGGAGGCAGUUAGCGUUUCAUAGGUGCAGGGUUCCAGUGUAGGAUUGUCAACAAAUUCUGGAGAUGGAUGGUGGUGAUGGUUCAACAAUGUGAAUGUACCUAAUGCCACUGAACUGAUCUUCAAAUGCUCUGCAUGGAAAUGCCGUCUAACAGGAUCUCUGGAUGGAUAAUUCCACAGCUGAUUGGAACAUAUACGAGAGAACCAAAUGGACAUCCCAGGGCUGCAGAAGCCACCCCAUCUAUGACUAAGACACCCUCCCACCUGCAUGCUACUGAGUGGACAGCUUACGUGAAAUGACUGUUUUCACAUAUGUGGCACCAGGCAGCCCAGGGAUGCCGGCGAAAUCUCUGGGAGAAUAGCAUGUUCCAGAGAGCCACAGCUUGCUCAGCCUGGACCCCAGAACGAAGGAGGCAGUCAGAAGCUGAGCCACCCCGUGGCCGACAAGAAACCUGAGUGGGAGGGGAAACUUGGUUGCUG